AAACAACACACACGUAUAUAUAAUGAUAUAGUAUAAAGUUGUAGGUACGGAAUUUUCGGAGAGAAAAUGAAGAGACCUAAAAAGCGAAACGUUGUCAUAUUCGGGACGGAUGGCAAAACUAAUGAAAAGUUUCGCUUCUACUUGCAAGAGUUUUGUGGGCCCGAAAAAACUAUACCACCCGCCAGUCUGUGUAUCUUUGCUUGCUAUUACUUACUAUACGGGGAGGACUCUUGUAGACAACACCAAAGAGCCACGUAAUCCAAUAGACGCAGAGACCUCUUCAAUAUGACGGACGCGUGUGUGGCUGGGAUGUAUCUGCAGGAGAAAAGAAGAAGAAGAAGAAAAUUGAUUUGGAACAUAAGAGGACACCCCCUCGUUGAGGAUGUAUACAACGUUUGGGCGCGGAGGGGAAUGAAUUAUCAAAAUAUCAUCCUGGAUGACGUUUUUUUUCACGCGAAACUUAAUUACGUAAGUAUCGAUUUCCAGGUAAAAUUCCUUCUGAAUGAUCUUUUCUUUGUUGAAAAAUAACUUCCAGUAGUGACACGUGGAUGUUUCGGCUAACUUUAGUAGCUAUUCUUACGGUAGACACAUUCAUCUCCUAGCCCAAAAGAGCCGUCCCUUUUUUUUUUUUUUAUAGGCUGUUGCCGUGUAGCGUGAAAUAGACACUAGGAUACAUCGGAAAACAAGGCGCCACAUACAACGUCCUCCUCCCCGUCCCCACGCGCGUUCCCGGUUUAUUGAUUUAUAUGUAUACACGUAACAGACGGAGAUGCCAGUGUGUGAGACGGAAGCUGGAUUAGUGGUAGUACAACAGAGAAGCGUGUGCCAUUCCAAAUGAUUCCUCUUUUUCGUUUAUCGUUGGGCAAUCGUCUCCACUAAUAACGGCAAGCUCCUCCCACAUUUCAAUCAAAUUUUCAGUUCGUUAAGUAUUACGAGUUAAAAAAAAAAAUGCUUUUUUUUUUUUACGCAAUCUUUUUACGAUUGAAUUAUUGCAUCAAACAGAUUUUUCCUAAAGACAUUUUUUUUUUCGUUUUGUUUACAAGAACACAGGGAAAUAAAAAGCCCGCGGGUCACGCCGCUCUGCGCCGACUCCGAUUACUUCCCUUUGCACCAACCCUCCUUUUUUUCGACAGGCGGGAGGAUAGGGUUUGAACGCUGAGGGGGCCUGCUGCACGCCGAAAGAUAGAAACUCCUCAAAAGCCGAGCCCAUCAAAAAUGAAAUGUAAAUGAAACAAGGAUCGACGGAGCGAAAUACUUCUUAAAUCGUCAC